rnacentral:rRNA from 1 species
GAUGAACGCUAGCGAUAGGCCUAACACAUGCAAGUCGAGGGGCAUCACAUGAAGUAGCAAUACGGAUGGUGGCGACCGGCGCACGGGUGAGUAACACGUAUGCAACCUGCCUUCAACAAGGGGAUAACCCGUUGAAAGACGGACUAAUACCCUAUAACACAGGGGUUCCGCAUGGGAAUAUUUGUUAAAGGACAACCGGUUGAAGAUGGGCAUGCGUUCCAUUAGCUAGUUGGCGGGGUAACGGCCCACCAAGGCAACGAUGGAUAGGGGAACUGAGAGGUUUAUCCCCCAACUGGUACUGAGACACGGACCAGACUCCUACGGGAGGCAGCAGUGAGGAAUAUUGGUCAAUGGACGCAAGUCUGAACCAGCCACGUCGCGUGAAGGAAGACGGCCCUACGGGUUGUAAACUUCUUUUAUACGGGAAUAAAGUGCCCCACGCGUGGGGUUUUGCAUGUACCGUAUGAAUAAGGACUCGGCUAACUCCGUGCCAGCAGCCGCGG